rnacentral:rRNA from 1 species
GAUGAACGCUGGCGGCGUGCCUAAUACAUGCAAGUCGAGCGAACAGACGAGGAGCUUGCUCCUCUGACGUUAGCGGCGGACGGGUGAGUAACACGUGGAUAACCUACCUAUAAGACUGGGAUAACUUCGGGAAACCGGAGCUAAUACCGGAUAAUAUAUUGAACCGCAUGGUUCAAUAGUGAAAGACGGUUUUGCUGUCACUUAUAGAUGGAUCCGCGCCGCAUUAGCUAGUUGGUAAGGUAACGGCUUACCAAGGCGACGAUGCGUAGCCGACCUGAGAGGGGGGUCGGCCACACUGGAACUGAGACACGGUCCAGACUCCUACGGGAGGCAGCAGUAGGGAAUCUUCCGCAAUGGGCGAAAGCCUGACGGAGCAACGCCGCGUGAGUGAUGAAGGUCUUCGGAUCGUAAAACUCUGUUAUUAGGGAAGAACAAAUGUGUAAGUAACUAUGCACGUCUUGACGGUACCUAAUCAGAAAGCCACGGCUAACUACGUG